rnacentral:rRNA from 1 species
CGGCAACAGCUCAAAUUUGAAAUCUGGCCCUUGUGGUCCGAGUUGUAAUUUGUAGAGGAUGCUUUUGGUGAGGUACCUUCCGAGUUCCCUGGAACGGGACGCCAUAGAGGGUGAGAGCCCCGUCUGGUUGGAUACCGAUCCUCUGUAAAGCUCCUUCGACGAGUCGAGUAGUUUGGGAAUGCUGCUCUAAAUGGGAGGUAUAUGUCUUCUAAAGCUAAAUAUUGGCCAGAGACCGAUAGCGCACAAGUAGAGUGAUCGAAAGAUGAAAAGCACUUUGAAAAGAGGGUUAAAUAGUACGUGAAAUUGUUGAAAGGGAAGCGCUUGUGACCAGACUUGGGCUUGGUUAAUCAUCCAGGGUUCUCCCUGGUGCACUUGGCCAGCCCAGGCCAGCAUCAGUUUGUCGCGGGGGAUAAAGACGUCGGGAAUGUGGCUCCCUCGGGAGUGUUAUAGCCCUUCGUGUAAUACCCUGCUUUAGACUGAGGUUCGCGCAUCUGCAAGGAUGCUGGCGUAAUGGUCAUCAGCGACCCGUCUUGAAACACGGACCAAGGAGUCGUCUUCGUAUGCGAGUGUUCGGGUGUCAAACCCCUACGCGUAAUGAAAGUGAACGCAGGUGAGAGCUUCGGCGCAUCAUCGACCGAUCCUGAUGUUCUCGGAUGGAUUUGAGUAAGAGCAUACGGGGCCGGACCCGAAAGAAGGUGAACUAUGCCUGUGUAGGGUGAAGCCAGAGGAAACUCUGGUGGAGGCUCGCAGCGGUUCUGACGUGCAAAUCGAUCGUCAAACAUGGGCAUGGGGGCGAA